GACGAACGCUGGCGGCGUGCCUAAUACAUGCAAGUAGAACGCACAGUUUAUACCGUAGCUUGCUACACCAUAGACUGUGAGUUGCGAACGGGUGAGUAACGCGUAGGUAACCUGCCUGGUAGCGGGGGAUAACUAUUGGAAACGAUAGCUAAUACCGCAUAAUAUUAAUUAUUGCAUGAUAAUUAAUUGAAAGGUGCAAUUGCACCACUACCAGAUGGACCUGCGUUGUAUUAGCUAGUAGGUGAGGUAACGGCUCACCUAGGCGACGAUACAUAGCCGACCUGAGAGGGUGAGCGGCCACACUGGGACUGAGACACGGCCCAGACUCCUACGGGAGGAAGCAGUAGGGAAUCUUCGGAAAUGGACGAAAGUCUGACCGAGCAACGCCGCGUGAGUGAAGAAGGUUUUCGGAUCGUAAAGCUCUGUUGUAAGAGAAGAACGGGUGUGAGAGUGGAAAGUUCACACUGUGACGGUAUCUUACCAGAAAGGGACGGCUAACUACGUG
rnacentral:rRNA from 1 species